CCUACGGGAGGCAGCAGUAGGGAAUAUUGCUCAAUGGGGGAAACCCUGAAGCAGCAACGCCGCGUGGAGGAUGACGGUUUUCGGAUUGUAAACUCCUUUUGUUAGAGAAGAUAAUGACGGUAUCUAACGAAUAAGCACCGGCUAACGCCGUGCCAGCAGCCGCGGUAAUACGGAGGGAGCAAGCGUUACUCGGAAUCACUGGGCGUAAAGAGCGCGUAGGCGGGAUAGCAAGGCAGAUGUGAAAUCCUAGGGCUUAACCAUAGAACUGCAUUUGAAACUGUUAUUCUUGAGUGUGCGAGAGGUAGGUGGAAUUCUUGGUGUAGCGGUGAAAUGCGUAGAUAUCAAGAGGAAUACUGAUUGCGAAGGCGACCUACUAGAACAUAACUGACGCUGAUGCGCGAAAGCGUGGGGAGCGAACAGGAUUAGAUACCCGAGUAGUC
rnacentral:rRNA from 1 species